UGUGUGUGCGGGUGUGCGGGCGGUGGUGGUGCUGGGCGUUAGCAUUCCCCUCAGCAGCUAACGUUACGACUUAACAAGAAAUGUAACGAAUUCUUUAACAGUCGUUGAUUGUAAAUGUCUGAGUUUCGAAAUUAUUCGACUACUAUUGUCAACAAUAAUGAUUAACAACUUGAGUGGUGGUAUGCUGUACCUGAGUGAACUUCUGUAUUAUUUAUAACAGAUUGGUUAACCAACGGCGUGCUAUCAAACAUGUUUAUUUUUUAGUAGGCUAAAGCAUUUAGUUGAUAGUCCGCUUUACCGUUCAUGUAAGUCACAGUUUUUUGCCGUUAAUGGAACUGUUGUGACAUACCCCAUGUUUUCCCUAAUUGAGCAGCGUGUGCAUGCAUUUUGCCUGGAUACAGACAGCGCGUAUUUCUUGGAGCUGAUCUAGUGAACAGUCUGUGCAAGGGGUGCGAGACAAGUUGUUUGUCUAGUGUAAGUAAAACUGGCGUGUUACAAGCGAUGCUUCAACUUUAGGCUAAGCAUAUGCUAUUUCAUUUAAGGAUUGUAAUAGGCGUUCCCCACUGCUCUGUGAUAGCGAGAAGAGAGAGCUAAUCGAGUUGUUUACAAGAAGCGAUUUGCACGGAGGGCGGGGAGCUUUAGGGAGGAGCCCCAGUGGUCGAGCUACGCGACUGGACUUCCAGAGAAACAUCUAGCUCCGAGGGCGGAGUCCCGUAGACCACAACAAGUCUGACGUAAGCGUGAUGUCUCUGCUAUAGGUUAAGGAUGGGUGGAGAUUCUUACAGCUUGAUGUGACAGGCUGCCCUUGUUCAGUUAUCAGAGUGCUGAUGCUGUCCAUCUUAAAGGUACAGUACUGUGAUAACUGAAGGAUGGCAGCCAUCUUGACACCACUGAUUCAACAUGGCCUAUGGAGGGCCCUCUCUCACAGCUGGGGAAAAAGGACAUUUUGUCACAAUGUACUGUAAUGUGAACAGUUUUAAUUAAAAUUCAAGAACCACAACCAA